UUGGUUUUUUUGUUAUUGUUCUUUAGUAUUGUAUGUAAAGCUACCACAAUGUUUUCAAAUGGUAUUCAAAGAUCUUUCUGCAAAAUGUACUCUUCAAGGAAAUAAUAGAUAAAAUAAACUUUAUUUGACCCGUACAAUGGAUUUAGCUGUUUGAAGUCAAUUGCUGACAUUUUUUUCUCAUUUUCAUCGUAAUUGAUGUUGAUGACAUUUAGUCCUUUACAGGUUGGGAACACAAAACAUUAGCAGGUUCCAUCAUCAAUGAAUUGAAGGAAAGAAGACUCAAGAUGAUUUUGAACUAACCCUCUUGCCCUAAAUCCCUAAUUUCCCAUGUAUAGAUAGAGGAAGGAAACUGAUGGUGAUACAAGUAUUUGGGAAGCUCAAAAUUUUUACUUUAUUAACCAGGGUAUCUACUAAGCAGUACAACCUGAAUCUUUGUAGGUUGUGCUUGAAGGUGAAUUUGCUAAAAGCAACGUUAAAUGUGGGCUUCUCUCCCAUAUGUCUAAAUGAACAAAUUUUAACACAUUUGAAACCCUUUAAUAUUAUACAUUUCAUAACAUUUUUAAAAUUCCAAUAUUACCCUUUGUGAUC